rnacentral:misc_RNA from 1 species
GAUGAAGAACGCAGCGAAAUGCGAUAAGUAAUGUGAAUUGCAGAAUUCAGUGAAUCAUCGAAUCUUUGAACGCACAUUGCGCCCGCCAGUAUUCUGGCGGGCAUGCCUGUCUGAGCGUCAUUUCAACCCUCAAGCAACUUCUGCUUGGUGUUGGGGAUCGGCCGUCAAACGCCGCCCCCGAAAUCUAUUGGCGAUCUCGCUGUAGCUUCCUAUGCGUAGUAGUAACAUCUCGCAUCUGGAGAGCGGCGCGGUCAUGCCGUAAAACACCCAACUUCUCAGGUUGACCUCAGAUCAGGUAGGAAUACCCGCUGAACAUAAGCAUAUCAAUAAGCGGAGGA